AAUGAACGUUGGCGGCGUGGAUUAGGCAUGCAAGUCGAGCGUGAUAGGUUUGGUGCUUGCAUUAAACCUUGAAAGCGGCGAAAGGGACAGUAACGCGUAGAUACCUACCUCCAGGUCCGGGAUAGCGACGGGAAACUGCCGGUAAUACCGGAUAAUGUCUUCGGCCCAAAGGUGUGAUUCCGCAUGGAGACGGAUCUGCGUCCUAUUAGCUAGUUGGUGGGGUAAUGGCCCACCAAGGCGAUGAUGGGUAGCGGGCGUGAGAGCGUGGCCCGCGUCACUGGGACUGAGACACUGCCCAGACACCUACGGGUGGCUGCAGUCGAGAAUCUUCGGCAAUGGGCGCAAGCCUGACCGAGCGACGCCGCGUGCGGGAUGAAGGCCUUCGGGUUGUAAACCGCUGUCGGAGAGGCGGAAAUCUCUAGGGGUUCUCCCCUAGAGUUGACCCAAUCUCGGAGGAAGUCCGGGCUAAGUUCGUGCCAGCCGCCGCCGUAA
rnacentral:rRNA from 1 species